GUAGUCUCGCACAGAUGCAUAUCAAUAAGCGGAGGAAAAGAAACUAACAAGGAUUCCCCUAGUAACGGCGAGUGAAGCGGGAAGAGCUCAAAUUUGAAAUCUUAAAGGGUUUCCCUUUACGAAUUGUAGUUUAAAGAAGUGUUUUCUGUUGAGGUUUUGGUAAAAGUUCUUUGGAAUAGGACAUCAUAGAGGGUGAGAAUCCCGUAUUUGACCUUUACUUUCAACUUUGUGAUACACUUUCAAAGAGUCGGAUUGUUUGGGAAUGCAGUCCAAAAUGGGUGGUAAAUUUCAUCUAAAGCUAAAUAUUGGCGAGAGACCGAUAGCGAACAAGUACCGUGAGGGAAAGAUGAAAAGAACUUUGAAAAGAGAGUUAAACAGUACGUGAAAUUGUCAAAAGGGAAGCGUUUGACACCAGUGUUGUUUUUCUGAAAAUCAAUUAAAGAACUGUUUAUGCUAAGUUGUUUAGACUUUAUCAGCUAAUCUGCUUAGUUUUGAGCUUUUCUUUAAUGCACCUUUCAGUUAACAAGUCAACAUCAAUUUCUUUUGCUGUAAAAAAGCUUGAGGAAGGUGGCUUGAGAUUCGUCUUAAGUGUUUAUAGCCUCUUGCCUAUGCAGUCGGAGAGAUUGAGGUCUGCAGCGUAGAUCCUUCGGGGCUAAAUGCAUUUGUGCUAAGUUAUAGCAUUUUAUAGACAACUUGUUGACUAUGAUUUGUCUUGUAGCUUACUCGCUUAUGUUAUUUUACCUACGCUUAGGAUGUUGACGCAUGAGAUAUACGC
rnacentral:rRNA from 1 species